rnacentral:rRNA from 1 species
UACGGAAGGCAGCAGUGGGGAAUAUUGCACAAUGGGCGCAAGCCUGAUGCAGCCAUGCCGCGUGUAUGAAGAAGGCCUUCGGGUUGUAAAGUACUUUCAGUCGUGAGGAAGGUGUUAAGGUUAAUAACCUUAGCAAUUGACGUUAGCGACAGAAGAAGCACCGGCUAACUCCGUGCCAGCAGCCGCGGUAAUACGGAGGGUGCGAGCGUUAAUCGGAAUUACUGGGCGUAAAGGGCACGCAGGCGGUUAAUUAAGUUGGAUGUGAAAUCCCCGGGCUUAACCUGGGAAUGGCAUUCAAGACUGGUUAGCUAGAGUCUUGUAGAGGGGGUUAGAAUUCCAUGUGUAGCGGUGAAAUGCGUAGAGAUGUGGAGGAAUACCGGUGGCGAAGGCGGCCCCUGGACAAAGGACUGACGCUCAUGUGCGAAAGCGUGGGGAGCA